CUAACUCUGAAUGAUCGGCUAUGAAAAGCCAACUGACAUUUACUCAUGAGACCAUGGUGACUGACCCAGCACUUCAGCGAGCUGGCCAACAGCCUAAUGUACAGCCUGUGUGGCGUGGAGGUGAUCCUGGGCUUCUUCUUGGUGCGUUGGUUCAGCUGUCAGGUGGAGGAUCGCAUGGUGCUGGCUGUCUGCAGCGCAACCUGAUUCUGGUGCCUCAAUCUUCCUGGCCAACCCCCAGGGUGAGUGGGUGAGAGUAGGGUGAAGUUACCCCUCGACUCUGCCCCACUAAUGGUUAAUGUUAGGGUUGGGGGAGGGGAUGAUUUGUACCUAGGGGAAAUUUCACCUCAGAGCGAGUGGCUGAGAGAGCCUGCAUGUACCACCACCACCCACUGUGUAUGGCAUGUCAUUCCAUACCCAGGGUUGAGACUAAAGUCACAGCAGAGAAAACACAAGGUGGGUGUCUGACUUACAUGGCCACCGUUUGACUCAUGACAUGGCAGUUUGACUCCAUAUCACUUCUGUUACAUAAGCAGAUGUGAUCAUUGCAUGUAUUGGAUCCUUGAGCUGGAUAAACUCCUGAUUUAUGGUUAAGUUUAGACCUGUUAUUUCCUUGAAGGAAUACAAAGAUUGAUAUUAAAGAUUUAUAAAAAAUGAAAUAAUGAAAUGUUUUAGCUUUGUGUUUUAUUAAAGGUCCAAUAAAGCUUUUUUUUGUUU